ensembl:lncRNA
GCUGGGGAGCAACGGGGCACUGUGUGCAGCCCCUCCUGGGCUCCGCUCCGUCCCCUCUGCACGUCAUCUCUUUGCCACAUAUGCAGAUGCCUCAAUGAGCUCAGACUCAGAACCUUGCAGGGUGUCAAUCAGGGGGUGGUGGAGCUGGGAGUGGAAGCGCUCCGCAGCUCUGCUGAUGUUUGUUGCACAGCACAGAGCUGUCUCGUCCCACACAGCCCCUGGAGGUCCGGGCACGUGCUCCAGGUGAGCAAAUUAGGGAAGGAGGUGGUUCUGCCAAUGGUCCAUCCUGGCUGGAAGGAGAGCACACAAAAGCUCGUCCUGCCCGUGCGCAUCGCUAGGUGAUGCUCAGCGCACCCCCAGCUCGGUGUCCAGGUGGUGCCUGCAGAUGUUGUCACUGCUGGUGCUGGUCCUCCUGGCGAGGACAGCCGCACACGCCAGCUGCACUCAUUCUCUCCCCACGCUGCCUGGCAAGCCAUGGGAUGCUCCCUGGGGUGGCCUGGACUCGUUCUGCAGACCCAGUGUCUCUGGAGGGGUUACUUGGGGUUGAGCUUCAAGCCAGCGGAGUAUGGGCUCUUCCAUCAGUUGCCGCUCAAACACAAAGAGCCCCUCCUUCCCACCGGAGCUCUGUGCCCCAUUUACCUGCCCUGUUCCAGGCUGGGAGCUGGAGAAUGGAUGCCAGCACCGAAGCCUGUGGGAAGCAGCAGGAAGCUGAGGAGUGCAGCAUAUCCCACCUGGCAAAGGGCUUCUGCUCCAUCCCUCCUGCUCUGCUGCUACCGAAAUGGUGGUUACAUCACUGCUGCUUCCUGCAGCUCCCGUGUUUCAGCAGCUCUCAGAGGGCAUGAUAGCAAAUCACCCUGGGAGCCGUCUGUGAUAAAAAGUGCAAUACAAACAGAUAAUAUCAUCAUACUCCACUAUUAACAGGCUUAAAUCCCAAGGAUGGGGAGAAGUUCCUGUGGAGAGCAAGCUAUCUCUCAACCACUUCUGCUGCAAUUUAAAAGCACUCCCCAGCCUGGCAAGGCUAAUUUCACAUCUCUUCUGCUCUGGGUUAUCGAUCUGGGUUUCUCCCUGUGUGAAGCCUGAGCCCUCCGUGACUGAUGAUGUUCACUGGGGGGGUUCUGGUUCUCACUGCCCCUAUGGGGCGGGAUGGAGGUGCCCAGCUGUGUCCCACUGUUGGGUCUGUGCCUCACUCACCUCAUCUCCCAUCCAUUCGUGGUUCUCUGCAGCUACUCGGGGGGGUGAUGUAAGCUGUCCCUUUGUGAUGGGACAGAUGAUGCCAGCAGUAAUGCCCACAGCCUUCCAGGGAGGAAUAGCUCCUGGGCUGCACCUCAUGGAGCAGAUGUUGUGGUCUUUGACUGUUCUGUAUGGAGGAGUGUCAUGGGUGAGGGACCCGUAAGGAUCCUGGAGUCCAACUCCUGAAUGGAUGGAGGGAGAGAAGAGUUAUCCUGACAGGGGGACUGCAGGAGGACUGAGGAGCUGCAGCUGCUGCUAUGGCCCCGUGUUGCCAUCAGCCCCACCACUCACUCAGGGCACAAGCUGGGCCCCAGUUCACACCCCACUUGUUUCCAACUGCUUUGAAGUCCCUGCCUUUCUCUUUAUCACUCCUUCCACGGUGGGGGCUUUUCCCCCACUCAGUGCUGUUUCUCUGCUCAUCUCCGGUGCAGACAAGGCAGGAAACGUAUUCUCAAUAUAUUAAUUAGAACUUCUUUGCAGCAGAACAUCUGCAUGGGGAGCGAUAGAUAGAUCACCGAAGUGUGUGCGCGCGUGUGCGUGCGGUGCAGGCUUCCAGAUAACGCAUUGCUUUGCAUAAUGUAUUCCAGCCAGCGCAGCAAUAAUUUCCAUAGCCUGUGAUCUUCAAGUACGCGAUUAUAAAUCUGCGGCCCGGCUCCACGUGACCCAGCCGUUAGAUUACUGCCAGAUAAACCUCCCGGAGCUGUAGGAGGUUUGGGUCUCCAUCAGCUCUGCCUCAAUGGGCUCUGUGGGCUGAGACCAAACGCUCGGGUUGGUUCCAUCCCGCCGUGCCAAAGCCAUUGGUCUGCUCAGGUGUUCGUCACUCUCGGCUGUCUGGGGAGAGGACGGUCUUUGCCAGUGGUGCUAUUCAGUUUCCUGGUUGUACACUUCGUGUAGGUUUAGCUUGAAAGAUAAUAAGAUAAAAAAACAGAGACAUCCCAGUCAAUAAGAGGAAACCUCAGAGACUUUUUCCAUCUUGCAUCUGUCAUACUUUGUUGAUAUUUUAGCUGCAGAGCACUUGACAGCUGGUUGUAAUACUCAUUUCCUCCUUUGAGAGAAUUAAAUGACAAACAUUUCAUUUAUCCCAAGGAGGAUUCCCCAAGUGACCCGUGGAAGAGGCCCCUUUAUAGCAGCUGGACCGAAGUGGGAGGGACUCGGAGCUCCCUCCACCUGGGACUGAUAAGUGAUUUUGUCCACUUUCCAUCCCCGUUACCUCUUUUCAUCCAUACACCACCUCCGUGCUGUCCAUCCUGGUCACUGAGGGCCACAACCCUCCGCCAGCACCCAGUAACGCCCCAGAGCAGCCCCGCAUUGGGCACUGCUCCGCUGAGCAAUGGUACAAUUGGGAAUGGCAAUGGGAGCACUCCUUGGGACGCUGCUUCCCUGCCUGUUUAGCAGGUCAGGACGUUAAGGGGCUAAUGGUUAAUGGCAUUAACCAACAUCAAGCAAAAGCUCCCUUACCUGUGCCAAGGGCAGGCUGCUGCUCAAAGCAGCACAGUAAUUAUGUAUAGCCCAAGUAAUUAUUUUUGUCACAUCUCCUGGCAGGAGACAACCAUUUGUGGGAUGGGUUUAGCUACCUCCAGCAACGCGCCUAUGUCUUAUUUACCCAGAACAAUGCGCUCAGCGUGAUUUUUUUCCAUCUCCUUUUUCCUUCUACCAUCAUUUUCAGCCCACACCGCUUUUAAUUCAGCAAGGCAAAUCAAGAUUCGGAAGGGAGGCUGCAGAAAUCCUCCCAGCUCCCAUUCACUGAGCAGAAAACCCCUUUUCCCUGGGGUCCGUUGGCGUUGCCAGCAGUGCUGGCAGCAGGCUCUGCCCUUUCCUAAGGGGGGUUGGGUCUCAGGGGAGGAACAACGCUAUGUUGGACGGCGGUUGUCAGCGUGUGGCUGUGUCUCUCCAUGGGAUGCUCUCGCAGUUUGCAGCCUCCGAGUCCCGCGUUCCUCUCUCCAGGCUGUGCUCAGCCAGCCCAGGGCCGCCCGGGGCAGCAGAGCAGGGCUCCCUGCUGCGGGGAUACGGGGGAAGGAGAGGCACGGAGUGACUCAUCACUGAGCCGCCUCCCCACUAUUCGCGUUUGCCUUUCGCUCUUUCCAGCCUUCAAAUAAAGGAGGAACUGAGAUGAUGUCAUUAAUCCUCAAUUUGGUAGGGUGGAUAUCUGGAUUCACGGCCGGAUUUCCAGUUUGUAAGCUUCACCCAGCUUACAGAUUUUGGAGCCGGAGAGUUU